GAUGAACGCUGGCGGCGUGCUUAACACAUGCAAGUCGAACGGUGAACACGGAGCUUGCUCUGUGGGAUCAGUGGCGAAUGGGUGAGUAACACGUGAGCAACCUGCCCCUGACUCUGGGAUAAGCGCUGGAAACGGCGUCUAAUACUGGAUAUGUGACGUGACCGCAUGGUCUGCGUUUGGAAAGAUUUUUCGGUUGGGGAUGGGCUCGCGGCCUAUCAGCUUGUUGGUGAGGUAAUGGCUCACCAAGGCGUCGACGGGUAGCCGGCCUGAGAGGGUGACCGGCCACACUGGGACUGAGACACGGCCCAGACUCCUACGGGAGGCAGCAGUGGGGAAUAUUGCACAAUGGGCGCAAGCCUGAUGCAGCAACGCCGCGUGAGGGAUGACGGCCUUCGGGUUGUAAACCUCUUUUAGCAGGGAAGAAGCGAAAGUGACGGUACCUGCAGAAAAAGCGCCGGCUAACUACGUG
rnacentral:rRNA from 1 species